UACGUAGGCAGCGAGCGUUGUUCGGAGUUACUGGGCGUAAAGCGUGCGUAGGCGGUGUCUUAAGUUUGUUGUGAAAAUCUCCCGGCUUAACCGGGAGGGUGCGGCGAAUACUGAGAUGCUGGAGUGCCGGAGAGGUAAGCGGAAUUCCUGGUGUAGCGGUGAAAUGCGUAGAUAUCAGGAGGAACACCUGCGGUGUAGACGGUUUC
rnacentral:rRNA from 1 species